GGAUUUGAACAAACGACAACAUAACUUAAUACUAAUAUUGACAAUGAUGAUUCCUGAAAGAUAUAUUCAUAUACACAUUCGGUCAAGAGCCAUUUGCCGUAACAGUCCGGGCGAGGUGUAUGGGUCUUCGAAUCAAUUCAGAUCGACUUCACCACCACCUGGCGCCGUGAAAUGGAGAGUGGUUGUCCCUUGCCGUUAAUAGGCGGCUGACGGCCGACACCAAUGGGACAAGGGCCACUAGACGGCGUGAUUAAUGGAUACACCAGGAAUUACCACACACGAAUAUGUCCUUUUUGGCCGGCAAUUUAGUUGAUAAAGAGGAAAAAACAAAAUAAAUGCAACUUACAUAUUCGAUCACGAAAUAGGAUCGGGGGUAGAACAACCGGACGGCCAGGAGAGAGACGCAGCAGCACACAGCGGAAU